rnacentral:tRNA from 1 species
UGUCCAAUGAUGGGAAACGAACCCACGGUGUUCCGCUUACCGGGUAGAUGCCAUGUUCACUAGGCUAUCCUGGAC